rnacentral:rRNA from 1 species
UGCGCAGCUUACCAUGCAGUCGAGCGGUAACAGGGGGUGCUUGCACCCCGCUGACGAGCGGCGGACGGGUGAGUAAUGCAUAGGAAUCUGCCCAGUAGUGGGGGAUAGCCCGGGGAAACCCGGAUUAAUACCGCAUACGCCCUUUGGGGGAAAGCAGGGGAUCUUCGGACCUUGCGCUAUUGGAUGAGCCUAUGUCGGAUUAGCUAGUUGGUGGGGUAAAGGCCUACCAAGGCGACGAUCCGUAGCUGGUCUGAGAGGAUGAUCAGCCACAUCGGGACUGAGACACGGCCCGAACUCCUACGGGAGGCAGCAGUGGGGAAUAUUGGACAAUGGGGGCAACCCUGAUCCAGCCAUGCCGCGUGUGUGAAGAAGGCUUUCGGGUUGUAAAGCACUUUCAGUGAGGAGGAAAACCUUCUGGUUAAUACCCAUGAGGCUUGACGUUACUCACAGAAGAAGCACCGGCUAACUCCGUGCCAGCAGCCGCGGUAAUACGGAGGGUGCAAGCGUUAAUCGGAAUUACUGGGCGUAAAGCGCGCGUAGGUGGUUUGAUAAGCGAGAUGUGAAAGCCCCGGGCUUAACCUGGGAACGGCAUUUCGAACU